GAUGGACUGACACAGUUGGCUGCAGCAAUGGGCUCAAACAUGGCAGUGUUUCGUUCUGUUGUACAUAGGGUCACUAUGAGUCGGAAUCAACUCAACGGCACCUAACAACACGACCACAGUAGGUGAGACCAUAUAGCACCACCUCUACCUUUAUGAGCGGAGGUAGUAAGCAUGUGUUAUUAGCCAUCAUAUAAGCACAGAACAGAUUAUAGAGGGGAAAAAAACAAACCAACCUUACUCUUGCCAAAUGUACAUGAAUUCUCACUUUACCAGUAACACCCUCUCCCAAUAAGCUAGACCCCUCUUUGUACCUCCCUACACCCUUAAAGAACACAACCAUCAGCUUAUACAAAAAGUCUCUCUUCCAAAUAAUCUUAUGCAAUCCAAGGACAGAACUAAUUACUGUAUUCCUUUUCCAAGCUUCUUGUUUCUUUUACACCUAGGUUUGUGAACAAAAUAUCAUGGUUGCAUAUUUUGUUUGCUUUGGGCUAGUUUUGCUUUAUUUUCUUUUUGUUUUAUAUAUAGACUUGAUGUUACAGUAAACUAUCAUCUUAUGCAUCACCGGAGAAAAAAUAAAAUUGAUAUUUAAAAACUUAUUUUAGAAAUGUAUUAGACUAAUCCUUUUAUUAGCACUGCUAAGAGAGCCAAGUGGUCAGGCUUACAUUUCAGUUUUGAUUUCUAAGCCCAGCUCGUAAUGCAUAUGUUAGUGAAGAGGAAAGUGGACAAAGGCAGGCAUUCUGAUGCGGUCUGGAGGAGAUGUGGCAAAGCCACAACCUGAAGGAUCAGCCGCAGGGAUGGAAAUCUCUAUGUGGAAGUUUGUGGAGGAGGAAUCUGCAUGCCUUACCAAUCCUUAAUGUUUUCCACAGAAUCUGAAGGUCUCGAAUGAAGAGAAAGGAUUUGAGAUGGAUGUGAAGGAUCAUACUUUGGCACCAGAGAGAGAAACUGAGGUCCCUGUGUCCUUAAUUGUGCUGAUUAUUUAAUUACUGCCUUAAUAAUCAUGUAAAUUCCUGAGUACCACUUCCAACAAAGAGGGCAGCUCAUGCUGGGAUCUGAAAGCGAAUGCUUGCUUUUCUGAGGAAUCUCACCAAGAAACAGUGCCCCUUUAGCAACCUGACCCCCAUCUCCACCCCAAGCACAGAAGUCAGCUUCCUGAAAGAUCUGCAGGAGAGGAAUGAAGGAAAUCAGGAGGCAUGCAGGCUUGUGGAAGAAACCAGCCAACACCAGUUCAAAAAGCCAUUUUCACUGUUAGCUUUAUGGUCCAGAAUGUGGAGAUGUGGAUACACCUCAGAAGACUUCCCAGUGCCCCUGCAGAGAAAAGCUCUACCCCAUAAAGUCCUGUUCUCUGGCUGGGCAAAGAGAAAGAGAAAACGUAGGGACCUCCAUCCUGUCCCCCCAGCAGGAGAGCCCCCAACCGUCUGUGCUGUCCUCAAACAUUGGCCAGAGCAGGCCCAGCAU